GCCUUUGGUUCAGUGGUAGAAUGCUCUCCUGCCACGCGGGUGCCCCGGGUUCGAUUUCCGGCCGAUGCA
rnacentral:tRNA from 1 species